CCGACAAGGUAAAAAGCGCCAAGGCCAUGCCGGUGAACGCUAUACUAAUGGAGCGGAGGGUAAAGCCCUAUGGAUUUUGGAUCGCCAUUGCCUUUGUGUAGAGCAAAUCGUACAUGAGUCCCAGUUCAAUCUCGAUAACUCUGAAUACCACCUGAAAAUGUUUAUCCUCGAGUUUUAGCCGGCAAGCUUUG